rnacentral:lncRNA from 1 species
CCCAAAUCCCUCAACUCAAAACACCCUACACCUUUUUCACCUCAUUAAAAAAGAAAGACCUAUUUCCUAAGAUGGGGGCUGUUACUUUGGAAGGAGCGGAACCCUAGACCUCUGAAACACCAAACAACCAACUCCAUUUCAGCCGCCACUCCAUCCCCCCGUCGGACCACCCCUCUCAGUCAUCUUCACCAAGAACAACACACCCAUAGCCGAUUAUUUUCUCCCUGAUUCAAAACAAAAGACCAAAAGAGCGAAGUCAGCCAUUGACGCACCCCAACUGAACUCGCAAGAACCACCCAGCGUUCCCAUUUCCGGCCAGCCUCAGGAUCAUCGAACUUCUAAAACACACACACACAUAGCCAGAGAAUGGUCAAAUUCGAGGCAGAGAUCAAUUGAGAUUUGGAGUUUGAUUCGAGUGUGAUUCAGAGUCGAGGUUCACGGUUUUGGUUUCGAUUGUUUUUUUUUGUUCAUCUUCUGUCGCACUUUAAAAUUCCAAUGCCGGACUGCCUGUAUUCGUUCUUGAACAUAUUAAAUCAAGAGUUUCUCGCAUUCAGGUUAUAUCCUUGCUCUUUCUCUUAAUUUAUUAUCAAAACAUGAAUUUGAGGUGUUGUUUUCUCUCAAGCUCUUUUUUAAUUUCUGAGUUGUUUUUAUCGUAACUCUAAUAUCUUGAGGCAGCUAAGUGCAACUUGGCUUGUCUGCUCAUAAUCGCUAUAGCCUAUGGUAAUAUCUUAAAGCAUUGGCUUCACAUAGUUUUGUGUUUGAAGAUGUAAUAUAUUGUGAUUCCAAAAAUGUCAUCUCAAAUAUUGCCCAAGUCCAUAAGUCUCAUUUGAAGCCAAUGUCAUCAAUAGGAAUACCAGGGAAGGAUUUUUGACCUUGAGAGCUCUAGAAAUUUAACUUGCUUCAAAUUGACGUGUUGUCUUCUUUUGGUAUCAUAGUCAAGUUAAUUUUGUAUAUAUUAAUCUGAACCAAUUUGGGAUUAAGUUCACAUUGUUGUUUUAAUAUAAAUGGAUCGCGGGGUUGGACACCUACAUUGAAAGAAAAUUUAGAACAUGAAUGUUCUGUCUAGUUUCAUUUUAUUGCUUUGAUCGCUAGUAGCAUGUUUAGUCCAACCACACUCGGGGGCAAACCUUAGAACUUUUGUUAGUUUUGAGGUAAGAGGUCGUUUCCCUUGUUGAAUUUAUCUGGGGAAUGCCCCGCCUAAUUUGUAUAUAUUUUAUCCGGGGUAUGCCCUGAUGUACUUGCUCAAGUUAAUUUGACAGAUUAAUCUGAACCAAUUUGGUAUUAAGUUCACAUUCUUGUUUUAAUAUAAAUUGCUCGCGGGGUUGUAAAUUGAAAGAAAAUUUAGGAUGUGAAUGUUCUGUCUAGUUUCAUUUUAUUGCUUUGAUCGCUAGUAGCAUGUUUAUACCAACUACAUUCGGGUAGGCAAACCUUAAAAUUUUUGCUAGUUUCGAGGUGAGAGGUCGUUUCCAUAGUUGAAUUUAUCCGAGGAAUGCCCCGCGUAAUUUGUAUAUAUUCUAUCCGGGGUAUGCCCCAAAGUACUUGUAGUUGGAGGCCUAGAGUGGAACUUGUAGUCAUUUUAUUUUAUUUUUUGAAUUUUUAUUUUUCUUUCAUUAGGCGGAAACGACCUCGAGCCUCUUGUCUGUUUGUUUUUCUUUUCUAUGUCUUUUUUGUUUUUCUUUUCUAUGUUUAUUUUUAUCCCAAUUUAAAUAAUUCAAACGCCAACUAGAUCAUGUACGCAACCGUGACCUUCACGGAACUUGGGGAGUGCCUAACACCUUCUUCCCGAGUCAAAUGAACCCCCUUACCCAAAUCUCUGGUGUAGACUUAGUUUUAGAGUUCAAAGUAUUUUAAAAGGAAACUUAUUAUUUCUUUUUGGAAAAUAACGGCGACCUGACACACCGAAAUCAAAUGUCACGUGUCGACUCUGAGUUAUUUUCUUUUAAACAAAAUUUUUGUCACUUUCAAAAUUGAAAACCCUUUUCAAGCUUUUUUUAAAUCCUUUUUGUUUAUUUAAAUGGGUUUACUAUAGUUUUAUUUAAAAAUGGGGUGUGACAUCUCUGGCGACUCUACUGGAGACUUGAGGGUUUGAGCUGAUUUUUGAUCUUGUUGGCUUUUAGGAUUUUAGGUUGCGUUUUAUGUGUUUUGUUGCUUUAUUUGAUUAUUAUUUUGUUUAUAUCGUUUUAUUAUUUGCUAGUUGCUUAUUGCUUAUAGUUUUCUUUUUAUGUGUUUAUUGCUUUAUAUCUGUCAUCAUUUGCAUAACUCGAGUCUUCUUUCUACAACAAGUCUUCCGGAGUACAUUUGAGUGUACACAGCCUUUUUGUGAGUCACCCGUAUCUUUAAGGGGCUGGCGUGGGAGCGUGGAGUGGGCUGACAGCUAGAGUAGCCGCCAUCGACCACUUGCCACCCUGAAUUGCCUUUUCUAGUGAACCCCAACCGUAGGUCAGCCUUCUGGUCAUGCUUAUUUUCAUCAUAUCAUUUAAACUUAGCAGGGUUAUGUCCCAGGCACCGUGUCCCAUUGUAGGAGUCCUAUCCAAAUUAUGUUAAAACUGGGCUUAUGGCCCAAAAAGACAUUUAAUCAUCCAUAUGUGCUACAUCUUGCAUCUCUUUAAGGGUAAAUAGGCCAUUUGGCGGACCAAGGAUAUUUGACGGUGAAAUAUAAACUAAAGUAGGUGAUUUUACACUUUUCCAUUAUUUUCUGAAAAUCAAAAAGAAAAAUCCAAAAAGAUUUUACACUUUCCCAUUAUUUUUCGAAAAUGAAAAAGAAAAAAUCAAAAAAAAAAGAUUUUUACACUUUUCCAUUAUUUUUCAAAAGUAACAAAAAAAAGAGAAAAAGAAAAUCCAAAUAGAUUUUAUAUUUUCUAUUAUUUUCCAAAAAUUUUAAAAAAGUAGAAAAAGAAAAUCCAUAAGAGUUUAUGUUUUUCAUCAUUUUUCAAGAAAGACAAAAAUAGUUUGUUUUUUUCAAAUUAGAUGUAUGUUUUUUGAAUUAUAUCCUGUAUUUUUCUUCCAGGAAUACGCGAACCUAAUUCUCGUCUUUUGAAGCGAGAUAUGUAGGUCCGAUCUUUCUAGUGAGUCUUAGGUUAUUUGCUUUGCGGGGUCUUAGCCAAGUAUUGCAUGUCUAGCCACUUUUGGCCAUAUCGGCUAUUCUUGCAAAAUGGGGUCAUUUUUUGCAUAAAGUGGUUCAAUUACCCAUGUCUUAGAAUUUUGAGUCCACAACUAGGUGUCAUUUUACUUUAAGGUCCGUCCUUUUGAGUUUGCAUCUUUAGCAACUUUCGGCCACAUAGGCUAUUUUUGCAAAAUGAGUUUUUUUGCAAAUAGUUUUGGGCCAUGAUUAUUGUGUAUUUGAAUCCAUAUAAGCCUUAAUGUGUUAUUAUCAUAUCUUUGAGGUCACAUUUGUUGAGUUUGCACUAAUAGCCAUCCUUGGCCACAUAUGUUAAUUUUGCAAAAGUAGCCCAAUCAUGUCUUGCAUGUGUCCAAUAGAAGAUGUCGCGGCGUCGCAUGUGUCUUGAGUCACUAACUCUAUUUGAUCUUAUUUUUCCCAUUCAGGUAUGGAUUAAUUUGCUAGAGUUUGAAUAGAAGAUGUCGUGGCAUCGCAUGUGUCCUGAGUCACUAAAUCUAUUUGAUCUUAUUUUUCCCAUUCAGGUCUGGAUUAAUAUGCUAGAGUUUGAGCAUGACUAAUACCUAGGAUCAUUCUAGUCAAGACCAUUGCAGGCAGCGGCUGCUUGUGGAAACAUUCUAUUUUUUAGUCUAUCUUAUGUUAUCUUUUAAGUUUUAGUCCAGUACAAUAGUAUCGAGUCUGUCAAUCUAGUUAAGGUUUUCGAGUCUUUUGUUACAUCACUUUUUGUUUUGUAUUUGAAAAAUCAAAAAAAAGUUAUAAAUGCAAAAUCCAAAAAUUUUUUU